rnacentral:rRNA from 1 species
UGGGGGAUAUUGCACAAUGGAGGAAACUCUGAUGCAGCAACGCCGCGUGAGGGAAGAAGGUCUUCGGAUUGUAAACCUUUGUCCUUGGUGACGAUAAUGACGGUAGCCAAGGAGGAAGCUCCGGCUAACUACGUGCCAGCAGCCGCGGUAAUACGUAGGGAGCGAGCGUUGUCCGGAUUUACUGGGUGUAAAGGGAGCGUAGGUGGGGAGGCAAGUCAGAUGUGAAAACCCGGGGCUCAACCCCGGGACUGCAUUUGAAACUGUCUUGCUAGAGUGCAGGAGAGGUAAGUGGAAUUCCUAGUGUAGCGGUGAAAUGCGUAGAUAUUAGGAGGAACACCAGUGGCGAAGGCGGCUUACUGGACUGUAACUGACACUGAGGCUCGAAAGCAUGGGUAGCAAACAGG